rnacentral:rRNA from 1 species
GACGAACGCUGGCGGCGUGCCUAAUACAUGCAAGUCGAGCGAAGUUUUUCUGGUGCUUGCACUAGAAAAACUUAGCGGCGAACGGGUGAGUAACACGUAAAGAACCUGCCUCAUAGACUGGGACAACUAUUGGAAACGAUAGCUAAUACCGGAUGACAGUAUUUCUCGCAUGAGAUAUAUUUAAAAGUUGGUUAUGCUAACACUAUGAGAUGGCUUUGCGGUGCAUUAGCUAGUUGGUGGGGUAAAGGCCCACCAAGGCGACGAUGCAUAGCCGAACUGAGAGGGUGAUCGGCCACACUGGGACUGAGACACGGCCCAGACUCCUACGGGAGGCAGCAGUAGGGAAUCUUGCGCAAUGGGCGAAAGCCUGACGGAGCAACGCCGCGUGAGUGAAGAAGGAUUUCGGUUCGUAAAGCUCUGUUGUUAGGGAAGAAUGGAUAUGUAGUAACUCUACACGUAAGAGACGGUACCUAAACAGAAAGCCACGGCUAACUACGUG